rnacentral:rRNA from 1 species
AUGGCCAUGGGCAUGGGCAUGGCAGCCUCCCCCUCUUGCUCCUCCCCUCCAUGGCCAGCCUCCUCCUCCGCACGCAGCCGCAGCAGCAGCUGUUCCCUCCUCUACACAGCCACCACCACUCGCCCUUCCGCUUCUCCGAACGCGCGCCGCCUUGGCCGCCCGCGCGCGCUGCCGGAGACGGCGCUGGUGGCGGCCGGGGUGGCGGCGGCGGGGGUCGCCGCCGCCGCCGUGCUCCUGCGGGGCGACCGGAAGACGGAGCGGCCGGCGCCCGGGGAGCAAGGCGAGAAGCAGGCGGCGGCGGUGGAGGAGUGCCCCGCCUGCGGCGGGAGCGGCCUCUGCCCGCGGUGCAAGGGGGAGGGCUUCGUGUUCAAGGAGGUCGGCGAGGAGGCGGCCGGCCGGGCGCGGCGGGCCGCCAAGAACAUGGCCACCCGCUACACCGCCGGCCUCCCCACCAAGUGGACCUACUGCAACCGCUGCUCCUCCACCCGCUCCUGCACCGCCUGCGACGGCUCCGGCGCCGUCCCCGUCCGCGCUAAAACCACCACCACCAAUUAG